UACGUAGGGUGCGAGCGUUGUCCGGAAUUAUUGGGCGUAAAGAGCUCGUAGGCGGUUUGUCGCGUCUGCUGUGAAAACUCGAGGCUCAACCUCGGGCUUGCAGUGGGUACGGGCAGACUAGAGUGCGGAAGAGGCGAGUGGAACUCCUGGUGUAGCGGUGGAAUGCGCAGAUAUCAGGAAGAACACCAACGGCGAAGGCAGCUCGCUGGGACGGAACUGACGCUGAGGCGCGAAAGCGUGGGGAGCGAACAGG
rnacentral:rRNA from 1 species